AUAGGGGAGCCGAAGGGAAACCGAGUCUUAACUGGGCGUUAAGUUGCAGGGUAUAGACCCGAAACCCGGUGAUCUAGCCAUGGGCAGGUUGAAGGUUGGGUAACACUAACUGGAGGACCGAACCGACUAAUGUUGAAAAAUUAGCGGAUGACCUGUGGCUGGGGGUGAAAGGCCAAUCAAACCGGGAGAUAGCUGGUUCUCCCCGAAAGCUAUUUAGGUAGCGCCUCGUGAACUCAUCUUCGGGGGUAGAGCACUGUUUCGGCUAGGGGGUCAUCCCGACUUACCAACCCGAUGCAAACUGCGAAUACCGAAGAAUGUUAUCACGGGAGACACACGGCGGGUGCUAACGUCCGUCGUGAAGAGGGAAACAACCCAGACCGCCAGCUAAGGUCCCAAAGUCAUGGUUAAGUGGGAAACGAUGUGGGAAGGCCCAGACAGCCAGGAUGUUGGCUUAGAAGCAGCCAUCAUUUAAAGAAAGCGUAAUAGCUCACUGGUCGAGUCGGCCUGCGCGGAAGAUGUAACGGGGCUAAACCAUGCACCGAAGCUGCGGCAGCGACGCUUAUGCGUUGUUGGGUAGGGGAGCGUUCUGUAAGCCGUCGAAGGUGUGCUGUGAGGCAUGCUGGAGGUAUCAGAAGUGCGAAUGCUGACAUAAGUAACGAUAAAGCGGGUGAAAAGCCCGCUCGCCGGAAGACCAAGGGUUCCUGUCCAACGUUAAUCGGGGCAGGGUGAGUCGACCCCUAAGGCGAGGCCGAAAGGCGUAGUCGAUGGGAAACAGGUUAAUAUUCCUGUACUUGGUGUUACUGCGAAGGGGGGACGGAGAAGGCUAUGUUAGCCGGGCGACGGUUGUCCCGGUUUAAGCAUGUAGGCGGAGGUUCCAGGUAAAUCCGGUACCUUUUAACGCUGAGGUGUGAUGACGAGGCACUACGGUGCUGAAGUAACAAAUGCCCUGCUUCCAGGAAAAGCCUCUAAGCUCCAGGUAACACGAAAUCGUACCCCAAACCGACACAGGUGGUCAGGUAGAGAAUACCAAGGCGCUUGAGAGAACUCGGGUGAAGGAACUAGGCAAAAUGGUGCCGUAACUUCGGGAGAAGGCACGCUGACAUGUAGGUGAAGCCCCUGCGGGUGGAGCUGAAGUCAGUCGAAGAUACCAGCUGGCUGCAACUGUUUAUUAAAAACACAGCACUGUGCAAACACGAAAGUGGACGUAUACGGUGUGACGCCUGCCCGGUGCCGGAAGGUUAAUUGAUGGGGUUAUCCGUAAGGAGAAGCUCUUGAUCGAAGCCCCGGUAAACGGCGGCCGUAACUAUAACGGUCCUAAGGUAGCGAAAUUCCUUGUCGGGUAAGUUCCGACCUGCACGAAUGGCGUAAUGAUGGCCAGGCUGUCUCCACCCGAGACUCAGUGAAAUUGAACUCGCUGUGAAGAUGCAGUGUACCCGCGGCAAGACGGAAAGACCCCGUGAACCUUUACUAUAGCUUGACACUGAACAUUGAGCCUUGAUGUGUAGGAUAGGUGGGAGGCUUUGAAGCGUGGACGCCAGUCUGCGUGGAGCCAACCUUGAAAUACCACCCUUUAAUGUUUGAUGUUCUAACCUGGCGCCGUAAUCCGGCGUGGGGACAGUGUCUGGUGGGUAGUUUGACUGGGGCGGUCUCCUCCUAAAGAGUAACGGAGGAGCACGAAGGUUGGCUAAUCCUGGUCGGACAUCAGGAGGUUAGUGCAAUGGCAUAAGCCAGCUUGACUGCGAGCGUGACGGCGCGAGCAGGUGCGAAAGCAGGUCAUAGUGAUCCGGUGGUUCUGAAUGGAAGGGCCAUCGCUCAACGGAUAAAAGGUACUCCGGGGAUAACAGGCUGAUACCGCCCAAGAGUUCAUAUCGACGGCGGUGUUUGGCACCUCGAUGUCGGCUCAUCACAUCCUGGGGCUGAAGUAGGUCCCAAGGGUAUGGCUGUUCGCCAUUUAAAGUGGUACGCGAGCUGGGUUUAGAACGUCGUGAGACAGUUCGGUCCCUAUCUGCCGUGGGCGCUGGAGAAUUGAGGGGGGCUGCUCCUAGUACGAGAGGACCGGAGUGGACGCAUCACUGGUGUUCGGGUUGUCAUGCCAAUGGCAUUGCCCGGUAGCUACAUGCGGAAGAGAUAAGUGCUGAAAGCAUCUAAGCACGAAACUUGCCCCGAGAUGAGUUCUCCCUGAGACUUAGAGUCUCCUGAAGGAACGUUGAAGACGACGACGUUGAUAGGCCGGGUGUGUAAGCGCAGCGAUGCGUUGAGCUAACCGGUACUAAUGAACCGUGAGGCUUAACCUUACAACGCCGAAG
rnacentral:rRNA from 1 species